AGGACGAACGCUGGCGGCGUGCUUAACACAUGCAAGUCGAACGGUGAUGGCCAGCUUGCUGGUCUGAUCAGUGGCGAACGGGUGAGUAACACGUGAGCAACCUGCCCUUCACUCUGGGAUAACCACCGGAAACGGUGGCUAAUACCGGAUAUGAGACGUACACGCAUGUGUCGCGUCUGGAAAGAUUUAUCGGUGAAGGAUGGGCUCGCGGCCUAUCAGCUUGUUGGUGGGGUAGUGGCCCACCAAGGCGACGACGGGUAGCCGGCCUGAGAGGGCGACCGGCCACACUGGGACUGAGACACGGCCCAAACUCCUACGGGAGGCAGCAGUGGGGAAUAUUGGACAAUGGGCGCAAGCCUGAUCCAGCCAUGCCGCGUGAGUGAUGAAGGCCCUAGGGUUGUAAAGCUCUUUUGUGCGGGAAGAUAAUGACGGUACCGCAAGAAUAAGCCCGGCUAACUUCGUGCCAGCAGCCGCGGU
rnacentral:rRNA from 1 species